rnacentral:siRNA from 1 species
GAGAGUUAUUUCAUACGUGGC